UACGGAGGAUGCGAGCGUUAUCCGGAUUUAUUGGGUUUAAAGGGUGCGUAGGCGGGAUGCCAAGUCAGCGGUAAAAAUGCGGUGCUCAACGCCGUCGAGCCGUUGAAACUGGCGUUCUUGAGUGGGCGAGAAGUAUGCGGAAUGCGUGGUGUAGCCGUGAAAUGCAUAGAUAUCACGCAGAACUCCGAUUGCGAAGGCAGCAUACCGGCGCCCUACUGACGCUGAGGCACGAAAGCGUGGGUAUCGAACAGG
rnacentral:rRNA from 1 species